GUUAAUGUAGCUUAUUUAAUUGAAAGCUCUGAAAUGCUUAGAUUGUUUCAUUUCCCCCUUAC
rnacentral:tRNA from 1 species